rnacentral:rRNA from 1 species
ACAGCACUCUGCAAACACGAAAGUGGACGUAUAGGGUGUGACGCCUGCCCGGUGCCGGAAGGUUAAUUGAUGGGGUUAGCGCAAGCGAAGCUCUUGAUCGAAGCCCCGGUAAACGGCGGCCGUAACUAUAACGGUCCUAAGGUAGCGAAAUUCCUUGUCGGGUAAGUUCCGACCUGCACGAAUGGCGUAACGAUGGCGGCGCUGUCUCCACCCGAGACUCAGUGAAAUUGAAAUCGCUGUGAAGAUGCAGUGUAUCCGCGGCUAGACGGAAAGACCCCGUGAACCUUUACUGUAGCUUUGCACUGGACUUUGAGCCUGCUUGUGUAGGAUAGGUGGGAGGCUUUGAAGCGUGGACGCCAGUUCGCGUGGAGCCAUCCUUGAAAUACCACCCUGGCAUGCUUGAGGUUCUAACUCUGGUCCGUGAUCCGGAUCGAGGACAGUGUAUGGUGGGCAGUUUGACUGGGGCGGUCUCCUCCUAAAGAGUAACGGAGGAGUACGAAGGUGCGCUCAGACCGGUCGGAAAUCGGUCGCAGAGUAUAAAGGCAAAAGCGCGCUUGACUGCGAGACAGACACGUCGAGCAGGUACGAAAGUAGGUCUUAGUGAUCCGGUGGUUCUGUAUGGAAGGGCCAUCGCUCAACGGAUAAAAGGUACUCCGGGGAUAACAGGCUGAUACCGCCCAAGAGUUCAUAUCGACGGCGGUGUUUGGCACCUCGAUGUCGGCUCAUCACAUCCUGGGGCUGAAGCCGGUCCCAAGGGUAUGGCUGUUCGCCAUUUAAAGUGGUACGCGAGCUGGGUUUAGAACGUCGUGAGACAGUUCGGUCCCUAUCUGCCGUGGACGUUUGAGAUUUGAGAGGGGCUGCUCCUAGUACGAGAGGACCGGAGUGGACGAACCUCUGGUGUUCCGGUUGUCACGCCAGUGGCAUUGCCGGGUAGCUAUGUUCGGAAAAGAUAACCGCUGAAAGCAUCUAAGCGGGAAACUUGCCUCAAGAUGAGAUCUCACUGGGAACUUGAUUCCCCUGAAGGGCCGUCGAAGACUACGACGUUGAUAGGCUGGGUGUGUAAGCGUUGUGAGGCGUUGAGCUAACCAGUACUAAUUGCCCGUGAGGCUUGACCAU